rnacentral:rRNA from 1 species
GAUGAACGCUAGCGGCGGGCUUAAUACAUGCAAGUCAAGGGGUAGCAAUACACCGGCGGACGGGUGCGUAACGCGUAUGCAACCUACCUUAAUCUGGGGGAUAACUCGGGGAAACUCGAGCUAAUACCGCAUAAGAAAUUAGAGUGGCAUCACUUAGAUUUUAAAGAUUUAUUGGAUUAAGAUGGGCAUGCGUAAGAUUAGAUAGUUGGGGAGGUAACGGCUCACCAAGUCUACGAUCUUUAGGGGCUCUGAGAGGAGAAUCCCCCACACUGGCACUGAGAUACGGGCCAGACUCCUACGGGAGGCAGCAGUAGGGAAUAUUGGGCAAUGGGCGAAAGCCUGACCCAGCCACGCCGCGUGCAGGAAGACGGCCCUCUAGGUUGUAAACUGCUUUUAACUGGGAAGAAAAGAGGCCUUGCGAGGCAAGUUGACGGUACCAGUUGAAUAAGCCACGGCUAACUACGUGCCAGCCGCCGCGGUAAUAC